AAUUUUCCGCAAUGGGCGAAAGCCUGACGGAGCAACGCCGCGUGAGGGAGGAAGGCCUUAGGGUUGUAAACCUCUUUUCUCUGGGAAGAAGAACUGACGGUACCAGAGGAAUAAGCCUCGGCUAACUCCGUGCCAGCAGCCGCGGUAAGACGGAGGAGGCAAGCGUUAUCCGGAAUUAUUGGGCGUAAAGAGUCCGUAGGCGGCCCGGCAAGUCUGCUGUCAAAGAAUGGAGCUUAACUCCAUAAGGGCAGUGGAAACUGCAGAGCUAGAGUCUAGGAGGGGUAGAGGGAAUUCCCAGUGUAGCGGUGAAAUGCGUAGAGAUUGGGAAGAACACCGGUGGCGAAAGCGCUCUACUGGACUAGAACUGACG
rnacentral:rRNA from 1 species